CGCCUCCUGCAAAAAUCAAUGUAUAAGAGGUCCUACCUGCCCAGUGAUAUUAAAUUAAACGGCCGCGGUAUUUUGACCGUGCUAAGGUAGCGCAAUCACUUGUCUUUUAAAUGAAGACCCGUAUGAAUGGUGGAACGAGGGCUUAACUGUCUCCCUUUUUAGGUCAGUGAAAUUGAUCUGCCCGUGCAGAAGCGGACAUAAAAAUACAAGACGAGAAGACCCUUUGGAGCUUAAGACACAAGGUCAACUAUGUUAAAAACUCCUGUAAACAGAAAUUAAACAAAAUAAUAACUGACCAGAGUCUUCGGUUGGGGCGACCGCGGGGGAAAAUAAAGCCCCCAUGUGGAAUGGGUUAAAACCUAAAACCAAGAGGGACACCUCUAAGUCACAGAAUAUCUGACCAAAAGAUCCGGCACAAAAGCCGAUCAACGAACCAAGUUACCCUAGGGAUAACAGCGCAAUCCCCUCCAAGAGUCCAUAUCGACAAGGGGGUUUACGACCUCGAUGUUGGAUCAGGACAUCCUAAUGGUGCAGCCGCUAUUAAGGGUUCGUUUGUUCAACGAUUAAAGUCCUACGUGA
rnacentral:rRNA from 5 species